GAUGAACGCUGGCGGCGUGCUUAACACAUGCAAGUCGAACGAAGCACUUUAUUUGAUUUCCUUCGGGACUGAUUAUUUUGUGACUGAGUGGCGGACGGGUGAGUAACGCGUGGGUAACCUGCCUUGUACAGGGGGAUAGCAGUUGGAAACGGCUGCUAAUACCGCAUAAGCGCACAGCAUCGCAUGAUGCAGUGUGAAAAACUCCGGUGGUAUAAGAUGGACCCGCGUUGGAUUAGCUAGUUGGUGAGGUAACGGCCCACCAAGGCGACGAUCCAUAGCCGACCUGAGAGGGUGACCGGCCACAUUGGGACUGAGACACGGCCCAAACUCCUACGGGAGGCAGCAGUGGGGAAUAUUGCACAAUGGGCGAAAGCCUGAUGCAGCGACGCCGCGUGAGCGAAGAAGUAUUUCGGUAGGUAAAGCUCUAUCAGCAGGGAAGAUAAUGACGGUACCUGACUAAGAAGCACCGGCUAAAUACGU
rnacentral:rRNA from 1 species